rnacentral:rRNA from 1 species
CUGGCGGCAUGGAUUAGGCAUGCAAGUCGAACGAUCCAGCACUUCGCAAGAGGUGCUGGGGAGUGGCGCAAGGGUGAGGAACACGUGAGUAAGCUGCCCUUUAGUUGGGAAUAACUCUACGAAAGUGGAGCUAAUACCGAAUGUGACCGGCCCCUCGCAUGAGGGGGUGGUUAAAGAUUUAUUGCUAAAGGAUGUGCUCGCGUCCCAUCAGCUAGUUGGUGAGGUAACGGCUCACCAAGGCAAUGACGGGUAGGUGGUCUGAGAGGAUGGUCACCCACACUGGGACUGAGAACUGCCCAGACUCCUACGGGAGGCUGCAGUCGAGAAUCUUCCGCAAUGGGCGAAAGCCUGACGGAGCAAUGCCGCGUGCAGGAUGAAGGCCUUCGGGUCGUAAACUGCUGUCACCGGGGAUGAAUAAUGACAGUACCCGGGGAGGAAGUCACGGUUAACUACGUGCCAGCAGCCGCGGUAAUACGUAGGUGACGAGCGUUGUUCGGAAUUAUUGGGCGUAAAGGGUUCGUAGGAGGUUAAUUAAGAUUGGUGUGAAAUCCCAAGGCUCAACCUUGGAACUGCAUUGAUUACUGAUGAACUAGAGUAUCGUAGAGGAAAGUGGAAUUCCAGGUGUAGCGGUGGAAUGCGUAGAUAUCUGGAAGAACACCGACAGCGAAGGCAACUUUCUGGGCGAUAACUGACUCUGAGGAACGAAAGCAUGGGGAGCAAACAGGAUUAGAUACCCUGGUAGUCCAUGCUGUAAACGUUGUGUGCUUGGUCUGAGCGGAUUCAACCCCGUUCGGAUCGGAGUUAACAUGUUAAGCACACCGCCUGGGGACUACGGUCGCUAGACUAAAACUCAAAGGAAUUGACGGGGGCCCGCACAAGCGGUGGAGUAUGUGGCUUAAUUCGAGGCAACGCGAAGAACCUUACCUGGGUUUGACAUAUACAUGACGUGCUGUGAAAGCAGUAUUCCCGCAAGGGCAUGUAAACAGGUGCUGCAUGGCUGUCGUCAGCUCGUGUCGUGAGAUGUUCGGUUAAGUCCGGCAACGAGCGCAACCCAUAUUAUUAGUUGCUACCAGGUGAAGCUGGGCACUCUAAUGAGACUGCCUGUGUUAAGCAGGAGGAAGGUGUGGAUGACGUCAAGUCCGUAUGGCCUUUAUAUCCAGGGCUGCACACGUACUACAAUGGUCGGUACAAUGGGAAGCAAUGUCGCGAGAUGGAGCAAAUCCGAUAAAACCGGCCCCAGUUCAGAUUGCAGUCUGCAACUCGACUGCAUGAAGAUGGAAUCGCUAGUAAAGGCGUAUCAGCAACGGCGCCUUGAAUAUGUUCCCGGGCCUUGUACACACCGCCCGUCACAUCAUGGGAGCUGAUUGCACCCGAAGUCACUGAAUCAACUGUUAAAGGAGAAAGGUGCCUAAGGUGUGGUUAGUGACUGGGAUGAAGUCGAAACAAGGUA